rnacentral:lncRNA from 1 species
ACAAUCCUGGUUAAAACACAAGGACAUGAGUUUUUCUGCUACUCUGCCAGACUCAUUACAGACUGUGGAAGAGAUGGAGAACGCGUGGUGCUCCCCAUGGCAAACAUGAAUUCAACCUUCAGGGCCACAACUUCUAAAGCUCCAGAUGGUACUUACUGCACCAAUUCUCUACCAGUGUCUCUGAAUGAACAGAUCCCAUGGAUAGUGCAUGCAUAUGACCAGGUUCCUUACAGAAAAAUGGAGUUGUACAUAUCCUUUAAUCAUGUCUAGUUUAGUGAUAUGAUAUAAUACAGAUACCAUGUUAAUAGCUAAUAUUGUACUGUUCAGAGAAAAAACGAUGAGAAGGGAAUUUGGCACAAAUGUAGUUUUUAACUCUUCCAAGUUUUUCUGCCCAUGGCUGGCUAAAUCUGCAAAUGUCAAAGAAAAUGAGAAGGAAAUUCAACUAUACUUAGAACAGGUUAGCUGUUUCGGAAAGCACCUUGGGGCUGAGUGCCUGACUGUGGCACA